AAUACCUUUACAUAUAUAUAAGCUAGCUAAAAAAACCGUAUUCUCUGCUCUCUUUUCUUAUUUUAAACCCUAAUCCCUAAAUUCCUAAUUCCAUUUAUCCCUAAAUCAUAAUUUCAUUAAGCCCUAAAUUCUUAAGAAAAAGGUUAGUGAAUAGUGAAUAACACCUUCCUAUAUGUUUUUCAUGUAAAUUCUUUUAACCUUCCAACCCCAUAUGUUAAUGAAUUUCUUGCUGGUGCUGGUACGGAUGCCCAUGAUGUUGAUGAGGAAAAUGUUGUUUCUAGACCUUCGAUGAGUUAUAAUGAUAUAUAUGUGGGCUAAGACUCUCCUGGAGACUUCAGAAAUGGAGAUUGAAAGGCCUCUGCAAAGACAUGAUGGUAUGCUUGAACACAAUGAGACACACUCUAGAUGGCCUACUGAACUUGUCCUGAAGUUAAAGAUGAAAAUGGCCCAAAAUCGAAGCUGAUUUUGAUUUUGCAGUGUUUGAGUGUGCUGAAAGACAAGGAAGAAAGUAAGGUGGAGCUGUACAGGUAUUGUUUGGCCAGAGCUUUGACAUAAUGUUUAGUUCAAGAAAAGAAGGCACUGUAAUGUCGAUGUAAUGUAAUGUCGGAGUAAGGAUUGGGAACCACGUACCCUUGGUUUCUUGAAAUGUAAUGUCGAUGCUGCUAUCCAUUCCACUAGUGCGACCUUUGGUGCGGUUCUUCGUGACCAUGAGGGUCUCUCUGUGGCGGCGCUAAGUGGGCAACUGCAUUGUUCUCAGGAUCCCUAUCUAGCAUAAGCUUUGGCUGUGAAGGAGGCGCUUUCAUCGAUCAAGUCGCGUCCGGAGAAUAGAACUUUUAUGGAAUCAAACUGUCUAAAUUUUUGUUCAAAUUUUAAUUCUGUUAGACAAGAUUUUUCUAUUGUUGGUUUAGUUACUAAGUAGUGUUGUUUGAUUGCUUGUGACAUUCGGAACGGUUUGGUUCGUCAUGUCAAUAGGUCAACGAAUCAUGUGGCUCA